rnacentral:tRNA from 1 species
GGGCGGUUAGCUCAGUUGGUUAGAGCGCGUCGCUUACAUCGAUGAGGCCGCGGGUUCGAAUCCUGCACCGCCCA